UGAGGAAUAUUGGGCAAUGCCCGCAAGGGUGACCCAGCAACGCCGCGUGGAGGAUGAAUGUCGUAAGAUUGUAAACUCCUGUUAGAGGGGAAGAAUAGUACCGGUUGGACCGGUAUAUGACUGUACCCUCAGAGAAAGCCCCGGCUAACUACGUGCCAGCAGCCGCGGUAAUACGUAGGGGGCAAGCGUUGUCCGGAUUUACUGGGUGUAAAGGGUGCGCAGGCGGAAGGGUAAGUCAGGGGUGAAAGUCUGCAGCUUAACUGUAGAAUUGCCUUUGAUACUGCUCAUCUUGAGUGUGGGGGAGGUUGAUGGAAUUCCAGGUGUAGCAGUGAAAUGCGUAGAUAUCUGGAAGAACACCAGUGGCGAAGGCGGUCAACUGGCCCAUAACUGACGCUCAUGCACGAAAGCGUGGGGAGCAAACA
rnacentral:rRNA from 1 species